UAAUUCUGGUUUAAUUGAACAUCAGCAACUAUGUUAAGUGGUUAACAAAUAUUUUAGCUUCAAUUUCUCGGGUAAACACUUUCCGAUUUAACUCCUGAUCAUUAAUUGACAGAAAACUCUGAAUCGGUUCUAUAUUCAGAGUUUUAACGAUAUGUGAUUUUAAAGAGUUUUACUUUGCUGAAAGGUAUAUAAUGCCCAAAUCGACGUGAUUCAACCGAUAAAACGCGAUUUUAAGUUCACAAAUAAAUAAUUGUUUUUUUCUUUUUGUUAAAAAUAUUCAUGAGUGCGAAUUGGACCACCUGCUCAAAAUUGUUUGUAGACUGCAAAAUUCAGUCUAAUCGUUUUAAGGACUUCCACGGGGCUUUCUUUGCCAGAUUCAGCAAAAUCUGCAGCGCACAAGGACAAAAACAAAUCAAUAACUUUGGCACCUAGUUGACCCACGUAUCCUUGGUUAUUCCAUACCAUGGAUAUAGUCCUAGUGAGCCUACAGGACCGACUUCUAGCGAUGCACAAGAAUAUGGUCCAAAAAUAUGUAUGCUCUUUCUUUCAGCUGCCCCCACCAAAUUUCCCGCCCCCUUGAUGGUUCCUAGUUGACUGCCAUAUCCUUGGUUAUACCAUACCAUCGAUAUAGUCCUUGGCAACCUAAAGGAUCAGAUCCCUGCAAAAUUUGCUUCGAACUGGUCCAAAAACAUGUAUGCUUUCCUUUUAGCAGCCCCUGUACAUGAGUAGCAGUUGCAGCUGCUAAUUAACAGCCGACUUUAAAUCACUCGAUUAACAUUAACU